rnacentral:lncRNA from 1 species
GGAAUGGAGGUCUUAUUCUAUCUAAGUACUCUGCUGGAGAAUUCCUGUAACCUGGACAUUUUCUUCCUUUCCCAUGACUGUCUGGGAAAGAAAGAUGCCUCUGAAGUGCUUCCAAGAUGUGGAUGCCUGUGAUAAUGUCACUCACUGAUUCCUUGUGUUGGGUGACACUGUCAAAUAGAUUUGCAUUCUUAAGAGUUUGAAUAGGUGUUCAGGAGUUGUUUAGGGAGCAUAUUCUGAGAUACAGCAAA